UUUCUGUUGUGACGAUAUAUGAAUAUAUUCACAUGUCAGACUUCAGAGAUUUCAAAAGAAAUCAAUGAGAAUUCAAUUCAUUUUACUGAGUGGAAA
rfam:Daucus carota subsp. sativus cultivar DH1 chromosome 4, whole genome shotgun sequence.